rnacentral:rRNA from 1 species
AACGAACGCUGGCGGCAUGCCUAACACAUGCAAGUCGAACGAGACCUUCGGGUCUAGUGGCGCACGGGUGCGUAACGCGUGGGAACCUGCCCUUAGGUUCGGAAUAACUCCCCGAAAGGGGUGCUAAUACCGGAUAAUGUCUUCGGACCAAAGAUUUAUCGCCUUUGGAUGGGCCCGGGUUGGAUUAGCUAGUAGGUAGGGUAAAAGCCUACCAAGGCGACGAUCCAUAGCUGGUCUGAGAGGAUGAUCAGCCACACUGGAACUGAGACACGGCCCAGACUCUGACGGGAAGCAGCAGUGGGGAAUAUUGCACAAUGGGCGCAAGCCGGAUGAAGCCAUGCCGCGUGUAUGAAGAAGGCCUUCGGGUUGUAAAGUACUUUCAGCGGGGAGGAAGGGAGUAAAGUUAAUACCUUUGCGCAUUGACGUUACCCGCAGAAGAAGCACCGGCUAACUCCGUG